UACGGAGGGUGCAAGCGUUAUCCAGAUUCACUGGGUUUAAAGGGUGCGUAGGUGGGCUGGUAAGUCAGUGGUGAAAUCUCCGGGCUUAACUCGGAAACUGCCAUUGAUACUAUCAGUCUUGAAUACCGUGGAGGUCAGUAGAAUAUGUCAUGUAGCGGUGAAAUGCUUAGAUAUGACAUAGAAUACCAAUUGCGAAGGCAGCUGGCUACACGAAUAUUGACACUCAGGCACGAAAGCGUGGGGAGCAAACAGG
rnacentral:rRNA from 1 species